rnacentral:rRNA from 1 species
UACGUAGGGACCAAGCGUUGUUCGGAUUUACUGGGCGUAAAGGGCGCGUAGGCGGCGUGGUAAGUCACUUGUGAAAUCUCUGAGCUUAACUCAGAACGGCCAAGUGAUACUGCUGUGCUAGAGUGCAGAAGGGGCAAUCGGAAUUCUUGGUGUAGCGGUGAAAUGCGUAGAUAUCAAGAGGAACACCUGAGGUGAAGACGGGUUGCUGGGCUGACACUGACGCUGAGGCGACGGAAAGCCAGGGGAGCAAACGGG